rnacentral:ncRNA from 1 species
UUGAGCCGUGUGCCAGGAAACUCGCACGCACGGUUCUGAGGGGGGAAAGACUCGCAAGGGUCCUACCUACCCGGU